UGUGGCUUUUUUCCUAACCCCUGACCAAACCCGUCCUUGGAACACAGGUGUUCCUAUUUACCCUUCGCAACCCGCUUCCUGGAACCCUUCUGGGAAAAGACAAAUAUUUAGAAAACGGCCAAGCAAAUAAGGAUCUCCUUUGAUUUCCACGAGCGCGGGUCCAACUUGUGCCCAAAACUCUGCCCCUAGGCAGCAGUAGCCCUUUCUAUUAACUAUUUAUCCAUUCCUCUACUCAGCCACCCUUUCAGCGAACAUUUGUAUCACGUGCUGUUACCUGUGAACAGGGCGUGGUCUCUGCAUUCCUGACGCUCUUGUCUGUGUCCCCCUGAAACAAUUUCCAGGCAGAAUAGAAUCUAACCCACACUCCAGGCUCCGGACAUCACAUGCACAGGGUUCCAGCGUUAGUACACGCCGGAGACGCCCACGUUCCAAGAAAAAGGACAGCGGCUUUUGCAGCAAAAGGCCUAAGUGAAUGCGACGUCAGGGGAGAGGAGUCUUUGGCCGGGCAUGGGCGGCAUGGCCAGCGGAGGACGUGACCAUCAGAGGCCCACGUCCGAGGUUGCAGAGAGCUUCCCGCACCUCCAGCAAAGGGUCGUCGUGCCAUGGCCCACGUUCUCUUUCGGGCUUAGCUACGUAAGUGUUUGAUCUCCCUUCCUUCAGGGAAGGGCCUGGGUUUUUGUUUUGUUUUGUAACAUAUUUCUAUAAACUCUGCGGUAGCCAGAAUCGUGUUGUAUAUUUUCAGUGACUUGUCUGACCACCCAGUCCUCUCUUUUGGAAAAUAUCCCCUAGAUCUUCACCAGCCACCCCCUUCGGGCACUUUGCGGGGUUUCUUGGAUAGCAGGGUGCCCAGGAUCUCGCCAGGCAGCCCUGGGGUAGAGGUGGCCUCUCACGUCAGAUGGUGGGAAGUACCCCAGCUCCCUGACAGCCAGCCUCAGACGGGCUGGAUCUGGUGUACCGGGUGCGUUCUGGUGUUACUCCCUGACGACUGGCCCCAGGGACCCCUCAGCUCCCAGGACUUGUCUCCAGCCCCCGAGGGUCCCCCCUUCACUUAGGCCAACACGGUGAUGGGCUGGCCGAAAGACGGGCAUUCUUCAUGAGAAACCGCCUUCUCCCCCGCUGGGCUGGCAGCUACCUUUCCGGGGAGGCGGGGGGCCACUCCCUCUCCGGGGCCAGGUACGGGGGGACUUUGUACCAAACUGGAAGGACAGGCAGAAAGGGUCGACCUCCGGUGUCCCCAGGGCCGCCACGCUUCCCAGUCCUCCUUUUCUGUCCGUUUUUAUGGAAGACUGCAAGGUAGGGGCGGGAGGGAGCACGGAGGCUGGCCUCUGUUGUGGGGCUGCAGGUACGACGCAGGAUGCCCAGGUUGUUCUGAAUUUUAGAUAAAUAGCGAAAGCAUUUUAGCAUGAGUGCAGCCCCAGCACCACCUGCAUUCUUGUUUGCUAAGCCUGGCAACCCUAUGUGAGCACCCUAAGCUUCCUGCACCUCUCAUCAAGGGGGCCACUCCCCUCGCGCAGCUUCCAGCAGUGACCCCGCCCCUCCCCAGAGUCUGGGGGCCUGCAGUCAGCCUGGCUCAGCUCCGGCUGUACCUUAAACAGAUCUGAGAGCAGCCCAGGCUGGCUGGUUUUCCCUGGGGGGGGAUUUCAGCGCUGUUUCACUGGUAUGGGGCUGUGAAAGUCCUGCGGGCUCCACUGGGAAGCCGUUUAAACCAGUGCUUCUUGAAUGUGAAUCGUGUGUGAGUCACCUGGGGACCUGGGCACCCAGAUACUGAGUCAGAGGUCUCUGGUGGGGCCUGCGGAUCUGCGUCUCUGACAGGCUCCCAGGGGACACCCACCAGCCGCUUAGAAAUGGACAUAAGACGUGGUCAGACCUGGUUGUAGGGAAUGGUCGGGCUCAGUUUUAUCUCGUGGUCCCGGGAGGCUGGAGUCGCUUCAGACUGUGGGUUGUGACCCAUCAGUGACUCACGAAAUCCGGUUCAUAGGUUGUGAGCCGUUUAAAUUCCUGGACACUGUUUUUUUUUUUUAAUGACAAUCCAACAUUUAAUUAGAAGGGGAGGCAAUUUUUACAAAUAAAUAUCAUAUGUGAAUAACUUUUUGUCCAAAAUAAAGGAUUUGUUACGUGCA